UACGAAGGGGGCUAGCGUUGUUCGGAAUUACUGGGCGUAAAGCGUGCGCAGGCGGCUUCUCAAGUCAGGGGUGAAAGCCCAGAGCUCAACUCUGGAAUUGCCUUUGAGACUGAGUGGCUUGAGUACGAGAGAGGUGAGUGGAAUUCCCAGUGUAGAGGUGAAAUUCGUAGAUAUUGGGAAGAACACCGGUGGGCGAAGGCGGCUCACUGGCUCGUAACUAACGCUCA
rnacentral:rRNA from 1 species